GGGGUUAUAGCUCAGUUGGUAGAGCACCGGCUUUGCAAGCCGGGUGUCAGGAGUUCGAAUCUCCUUAACUCCACCA
rnacentral:tRNA from 1 species